ensembl:lncRNA
CAGGCUGGAGUGCAGUGGUGCGAUCUUGGCUCACUGCAAGUUCCGCCUCCCGGGUUCAUGCCAUUCUCCUGCCUCAGCCUCCCGAGUAGCUGGGACUAUAGGCACCCGCCACCACGCCUGGCUAAUUUUUUGUAUUUUUAGUAGAGACGGGGUUUCACCAUGUUAGCCAGGAUGGUCUCGAUCUCCUGACCUCGUGAUCCGCCCGCCUUGGCCUCCCAAAGUGCUGGGAUUACAGGCGUGAGCCACCGCGCCCGGCCGAGUGUCAAUGUUUUAAGUAGAGAUGCGGGUCUUGUUACAUUGACCAAGCUAGUGGGUUUUUUUGUUUUGUUUUGUUUUGUUUUGUUUUGUUUUGAGACAGAGUCUCACUUUGUCACCCAGGCUGGAGUGCAGUGGCAUGACCUCGGCUCACUGCAACCUCUGCCUCCCAGGUUCAACUGAUUCUCUUGCAUCAGCCUCCUGAGUAGCUGGGACUAUAGGUGUGUGCCACCAUGCCCGGCUAAUUUUGAUAUUUGUCUUAGAGACAGGGUUUCACCACAUUGGCCAUGCUCAUCUUGAACUCCUGACCUCAGUCGAUCCGCCCACCUCAGCCUCCUGAAGUGCUAGGAUUACAUACAUAAGCCACCACGCCUGCCACCAAUCUGGUUUUGAACCCCCAGCCUCAAGUGAUCCUCCCACUUCAGCCUUCCAAAGUGCUGGUAUUACAGGCAUGGGCGACCACACCUGGCCUCAGCUGUUCAAUUAAAAGUAAAUAAAACUUAAAAUUCUACGUUUCAUUGGCAGUAGUACGGUGUUAAUACAGAGUAGCCACAUGUGGUUAGUGGCUACAGUAUUGGACAGUGCAGGUAUAGAAUACUUCUAUCAACAUAGAAAAUUCUAUCAGUCUAGCUCUAGGGGCAGAUAGUCCUUCUACUGACUUGGGCAAGUCACUCCACAAAUGGCAUCUACCUCACAUGGUUAUGGUGAGAAUUCAGCGUGUGUAUGUAUAUGCAUGCAUACACACACAUAACAGUGCACCGUUUCCUGAAAAGCCUGACACAGGGAGCUCAGACAUGAGUGCCACCCACCCCUGGGCAGCACCAAGAUGGCUCUAGUCCGGGCGCCUUUGUCUCACCCCCAUGCCUUUGCUCGGAGUGUGCUCCUCAUUUUUCUGCCACUUUGACCCUGUCUCUGAUUUGGUCCUGUCUGACAUCACUGCUAUAUGCUUUGCUGCUCUCAAUUUCCUCUGCCCUCAUGCCAGCAGGAGUCAUGCCAGAGAUCAUAUCUGAGAAAGCAAGACAAUUUUGUGUGUGUGUGUCUGUGCCCAUAGAGGAGUGCUGGUUGUGUUGAUAUAGUUGUAGAUUGGUUGUGUUUACAUCGUUGUAUAUAUUGACAUGCUUGAGUGUUAUGACUUCUUUUGGGGGUGGUCGCCUUUUAAAUCAUGACUUUUGAUGGGAUUGAAUUUUAGUCUUUGUGAAGACAUAAGUAGGCAUCUGUCUCUGGGAGCAUCCAAGCAGAAAAGACUAAGACUCCCUUGUAGACAGAUCACUGGCCUCCAUUGGAGUGUGUCUGCAUGGCACCACAGGGCUGGAAGACCCUUGGAGGCAGGAAUUCAAGGAAAUGUAUGAUGAAUUUUGGCACUGCCAUCAGAAGCAGAACAGGCAUGGAAAACUUGGGUGAGUGGACGAGACAACCUCAUCACUACAGCAGAGUUCCAUACAUUCCUGAACAAUGAUGGAGGGAUUUGUGUCCACUGCAGUGGGGAACCAUGAAGGACACAUCAAGGGUGUGGUUGGCCUAUGGUGCUCUUUGGAGGAAUGAAUAAAAAUGAAUAGAAAUCC